AUUGAACGCUAGCGGGAGGCUUUACACAUGCAAGUCGAACGAGUGGCGGACGGGUGAGUAAUGUAUCGGAACGUGCCCAGUAGCGGGGGAUAACUACUCGAAAGAGUGGCUAAUACCGCAUACUAUUGGAGCGGCCCAUAUCGGAUUAGCUCGUUGGUGGGGUAAAGGCUCACCAAGGCAACGAUCCGUAGCUGGUUUGAGAGGAUGACCAGCCACACUGGGACUGAGACACGGCCCAGACUCCUACGGGAGGCAGCAGUGGGGAAUAUUGGACAAUGGGGGAAAGCCUGAUCCAGCCAUCCCGCGUGUAUGAGAAGGCCUUAGGGUUGUAAAGUACUUUCGGCAGAGAAGCGUUACCUGCAGAAUAAGCACCGGCUAACUACGUGCCAGCAGCCGCGGUAAUAC
rnacentral:rRNA from 1 species